UACGUAGGUGGCAAGCGUUGUCCGGAAUUACUGGGCGUAAAGGGUUCGUAGGUGGCCAACUAAGUCAUACGUGAAAUCCCUCAGCUUAACUGGGGAACUGCGUCUGAUACUGGUUGGCUUGAGUGCAGGAGAGGAACGCGGAAUUCCAGGUGCAGCGGUGAAAUGCGUAGAUAUCUGGAGGAACACCGGUGGCGAAGGCGGCGUUCUGGACUGCAACUGACACUGAGGAACGAAAGCCAGGGGAGCAAACGGG
rnacentral:rRNA from 1 species